ACCCAGCUGACGAGUCCCACAUAGGACGAAAUGCGUUUCUUAUAU
rnacentral:hammerhead_ribozyme from 1 species